rnacentral:rRNA from 1 species
CUCCAAUAGCGUAUAUUAAUGUUGUUGCAGUUAAAAAGCUCGUAGUUGAAUUUCUGGAAUGAACUUUCGGUCCGAGGCCUUGUGUCUUGCGUACUGUUUCUGUUCAUCCAUCUUAGUAGUGAGUGUUACUGGCAUUCGGUUGUCGGUUGCAGGAGCUGCUUCGUUUACUGUGAAUAAAAUAGAGUGUUUAAAGCAGGCAU